rnacentral:rRNA from 1 species
UACGUAGGGUGCAAGCGUUGUCCGGAUUUAUUGGGCGUAAAGAGCUCGUAGGCGGUCUGUCGCGUCGGAUGUGAAAACCCAGGGCUCAACCCUGGGCCUGCAUUCGAUACGGGCAGACUAGAGUGUGGCAGGGGAGACUGGAAUUCCUGGUGUAGCGGUGAAAUGCGCAGAUAUCAGGAGGAACACCGGUGGCGAAGGCGGGUCUCUGGGCCAAUACUGACGCUGAGGAGCGAAGGCGUGGGGAGCGAACAGG